rnacentral:rRNA from 1 species
GAUUAGUGGCGAACGGGUGAGUAAUACGUGAGCAAUGUGCCCUUGACUCUGGGAUAAGCGCUGGAAACGGCGUCUAAUACCGGAUACGACGAUCGGAGGCAUCUCCUGGUCGUGGAAAGAACUUCGGUCAAGGAUCAGCUCACGGCCUAUCAGUUAGUUGGUGAGGUAAUGGCUCACCAAGACGACGACGGGUAGCCGGCCUGAGAGGGUGACCGGCCACACUGGGACUGAGACACGGCCCAGACUCCUACGGGAGGCAGCAGUGGGGAAUAUUGCACAAUGGGCGCAAGCCUGAUGCAGCAACGCCGCGUGAGGGACGAAGGCCUUCGGGUUGUAAACCUCUUUUAGCAGGGAAGAAGCGAAAGUGACGGUACCUGCAGAAAAAGCACCGGCUAACUACGUGCCAGCAGCCGCGGUAAUACGUAGGGUGCAAGCGUUGUCCGGAAUUAUUGGGCGUAAAGAGCUCGUAGGCGGUUUGUCACGUCUGCUGUGAAAACCCGAGGCUCAACCUCGGGCUUGCAGUGGGUACGGGCAGACUAGAGUGCGGUAGGGGAGAUUGGAAUUCCUGGUGUAGCGGUGGAAUGCGCAGAUAUCAGGAGGAACACCGAUGGCGAAGGCAGAUCUCUGGGCCGUAACUGACGCUGAGGAGCGAAAGCAUGGGGAGCAAACAGGCUUAGAU